ACCCUGAGUCAGAAAAACGUUU
rnacentral:miRNA from 1 species